rnacentral:lncRNA from 1 species
GCAUUAGGGAACGAAGUGACUUUCCCAAGAUACCAGAGCUCAUUAGUGGUAGAUUUGGAAAUACAAUUCACUAUAAAAAAUCUGAUAAUAGCCAAGAGAGAGAGAACUUGAGGUAUAUUAUGUAGCUUAAUUAUAUUUUCUAACUCAUUGACCUUCCAGAAACAGUUUAUAGUCUUUACUACUUUGUCGUUCUUUAGGCUUGCUCUUCCUACAAACAAUCCAGGAAUAUCUACGUGAUGGAGCAGAGAGGAAGGUGAAUUUUAGGAUACUGGUGCCAGAAAAAAUAAGCUCAUAGUUGCACCAUUUACACACUGAUAAUUGCAAAAUUUUCAUCUGCAGUCCCAACCUUCCUUUCCCCAGAACUCCUGCUUGUGCUUAUUGCUUACUCUGUAUUUUCACAUCCCUUGUCACAAAAUUGCUCUUCCUCUUCAAAAUGCACCUUGAAUGAAACCACUUACCACCUCUACCACCAAUGCAAUCCUGACAUAGCCACUAUCACCUCUUGCACGGAUGACUGCAACAGUUCUCCCUGCCUCCACUCAACACUCUACAAUCCACAAUGCUCAGAAGCCACAGUGAGCUUUUAAAAAUAAUUUGGAUCACAUCUCUCCUCUGCUUAAUUCCCUCAAUGAUUCCCUUGAUCCUCGGAUUUAAAGCCAAACUCUUUACCAUGUCUUUCAAGUACAAGAUCUAUGAAUCCCUCAAAUUUCAUCUCAACCAUUCUCCUAGCCAUAGGGCUUCUUGCUGAGUGUCACACAGGACAUUCUGGUUCUUGCUUCAGGGCAUUUGCAUGUGCUUUUAUGUCUGAGUGGAAAUCUCUUACUCUUGUGAACAGCACAUAGUAGCACUUAAUAAACAUUGUUGAAUAAAUUAAUUGUUACAUUUAUAAUUUUAUAUUAUAUUUGAACUUUUGCCUCUAGAUUUCAGUGUCUAUUAGAUCCUUAGUAUAAAAAAAUGAAAAAUAAUUAACAUGCUUACAUUUUCAAACUUUUGUCCCCUACUUCCCAAUUUUUGUUUCUUUAUAGUACUAAAUGUAUAUUUUAAAGUUUAUAAUACUAAUAUUUUGUUUUGAAGCCAUAAUGUUAGUUUUUGGAGCUGGACAAGGCACUAUUAGCCCACAAAUGGGGAGAGAGACUUAUAUGGACAAUUUCUUUGUGCCUUUUCCCAAAUGACUACCCACUCCCUCUGAAGUUAUCUGUAUUUUAUCCUCAAAUUUGGUAAAUCUCUGCUUAUUGUUACAGUUAAUUAGCUCUGAUCAAUUAAGACCUUCUGCCUUCUCUUUCCUAUAUGCCUCUCAGCUAGAGGCCUAGCA